rnacentral:rRNA from 1 species
GACGAACGCUGGCGGCGUGCUUAACACAUGCCAGUCGAACGGAAAGGCCCUGCUUUUGUGGGGUGCUCGAGUGGCGAACGGGUGAGUAACACGUGAGUAACCUGCCCUUGACUUUGGGAUAACUUCAGGAAGCUGGGGCUAAUACCGGAUAGGAGCUCCUGCUGCAUGGUGGGGGUUGGAAAGUUUCGGCGGUUGGGGAUGGACUCGCGGCUUAUCAGCUUGUUGGUGGGGUAGUGGCUUACCAAGGCUUUGACGGGUAGCCGGCCUGAGAGGGUGACCGGCAACAUUGGGACUGAGAUACGGCCCAGACUCCUACGGGAGGCAGCAGUGGGGAAUAUUGCACAAUGGGCGGAAGCCUGAUGCAGCAACGCCGCGUGCGGGAUGACGGCCUUCGGGUUGUAAACCGCUUUCGCCUGUGACGAAGCGUGAGUGACGGUAAUGGGUAAAGAAGCACCGGCUAACUACGUG